GAAGGAACAAGGACAACGAACAGAGGAGGAGAAAGGGAGAGAAGAAAAGAAAAGAAGAAGAUGGGAAGGGAGAAAGAGGUAGAGAUUUUGGGCUCGAUGAUGAGUCGGUCUUAUGGAGAGUUUCUGUUCUAAAAUAGGAUUUUGGUCUAGGAGUUUCGGGUACUGCAACUAGGAAGAUGUGAGAAUUUGAUCUCAUGAUCAUGGAAUUUCACCAUCGAAAUUCCGGAUGUUGAAGAAUUGAAAGAAGUUGGGCAGAUCUUCUAGAGCCUUGUUUUCAUUCUAGUUCUGGUCCUAUUUAGGAUUUGAGAUUGAAACUUUCACAUAAGGGUUUCUGUACUAGUGCAGCUGCUAAAGUCUCCAGCUCCAGUGGUGCUCAACCAAGCAAUGGCACAGAUUUUUGGAUGGCCACAGAAGAAUUUAGUUGCUUCGAUUCCUCUAAGAAAGGAUGAUGAUGUAGAAAGCCAGAUUGGAGCAGGGUGUCUUAAUGUGAAGGUCAUAUGAACGGUUCACCACACCCGAGGAGAGUUGAUAUGAUCUCCAACCUAUUGCAGCUAUGUGUAACUAUUGUUGGCUUUGAAAAAAAAUGUUCAGCCUCGUUA